UACGAAGGGGGCUAGCGUUGCUCGGAAUCACUGGGCGUAAAGCGCACGUAGGCGGCUUUCUAAGUCAGGGGUGAAAUCCCGGAGCUCAACUCCGGAACUGCCUUUGAUACUGGAAAGCUUGAGUUCGGGAGAGGUGAGUGGAACUGCGAGUGUAGAGGUGAAAUUCGUAGAUAUUCGGAAGAACACCAGUGGCGAAGGCGGCUCACUGGACUGGUAUUGACGCUGAGGUGCGAAAGCGUGGGGAGCAAACAGG
rnacentral:rRNA from 1 species